GAAAUCCUUCUCUUGUGGAGUCUUCCCUGGAAGCCUAGAUCUUCAGAGAUGGACUGACACAAAUGACAGGACAAAGAAACAUACAAGGAAAUAAAAUGAAAAUUCAGAACAGAUGUUAGGACACACUUUUUCAUGCUGAAUGUGCAGAGCGGUCAAACAGGUCUAGCAGCACAUCCGUUUCGAAGCUCAGACUGUUUCUGAAGGGUUCUGUCAUACUUACAAAAUUGAAUUAAGAAAAUUGACAGAAGACACUGUUUUUAUCAUCCUGAAGAGUAUAAUUGUUUUGAAGUGAUAAAAAAAAAUGUUACACGUGAAUGAGUUUAGGAGAUAAGAAAAAAGGAGUUGGAGAAAACCAAACCACCAACAAAAAAGGAUCAAUAGUGGUGAAAGAUAGCAGCUUUGAGAAACAUUGUUCACUGAAAGGAACAAUCUUCAAUUUUUCAAGGAAUUCAGCCUUCUAUUACAUAAAAUGUCCAAGGAAAUAAAACUAAUUAUUAAUGACAUCUGGAUGCAAGAGGUCAGGAAACCUUGGCAUAAAACUGAAGGGUUUUUUUCUGACAUAAAGAGGAUAAUUUUGUGCUGGAAUUUUCUGUACUUCAAUGUCCAGAAGAAUGGAAUGCAUUGUGUUUGUGUAUAAAUGUGGGAUCUACUACUUUAUAUAAGGUAUGCAUGUGUGUAUACAUGUAGAAGACUGGUAUUAGUGUAUAUGUGAGUCUUCUGAAUAUCAGCCAUUUCAAUAUGCCUCUUUCUGUGGAUGGAAGAUUUAAUGGAACCUUUGUGGUUGAGAUGAUUAACCACACUAACCACCACAGUCUGACCAUAGAAGGAAAGAGCUACUGUUUCAUUCUUAAAUUGUGAAUGACUAGUAUUGAACGUGAAGAAAUAUGAACAAGUUUGUGAAAAUACAAUUACUGAUUCCUAGUAUUCUCACACCACGCUUACAUGGAAUCCCUCACAAUUCUGCCUAAUAUACUAUCAUUAAUUCUAUAUGCUGUAUUGUUAUUUGGCUUUCUAUUCACGUUUCUUAGGCCAUUUUCUUGUGUGCAGAGCCGUUGUUUCACCAAAAGUUUAAGUGGGCUCUGCAGCCUCUUUUGUCUUUACACUACACAUAUGCAUACAGACUGAAAAAUUACUUUGCACUACUUUGAAAGUCCUUAGAGAAUCUCAUGCAAUAGAAAAAUCUGUUAAAUUCGUCACCUCUGCACUACUGAAAAUAUACAUUUCCUGCUCUGUCUUGCUGAAGACUUUCAGCCACAUGGUGUUGUACUCAAGACUAUUCUUCAGCUGCUCAGCAAAGUUCUGACAUUAUCGAUAGUAACAGAGUUGAAAUAAGGUUCAGCAUUACAUUUGAGUACCAGAAAUUAUGGUAAAAGCUUAGAAUUAAGCAUUUUUUUUUUUUAAG